rnacentral:misc_RNA from 1 species
CAAACUCCAGCAACCUACCCGAACGCUCGGCGGGCCGCGUCAAUGCGUUCUGUUUGGUCUUGCUCCGAAUGGGGUUUAGCCUGCUGCAGGCUGUUGCCAGCCGCACGGUGCGCUCUUACCGCACCUUUUCACCCUUACCUGUUUUGCCCGAAGGCAAUCAUCGGCGGUAUUGCUUUCUGUUCCACUUUCCGUCGG